UCCCUGGUGGUGUAAUGGUAGCACAGGUGAUUUUGGUUCAUCUAGUUGGGGUUCGAAUCCCUACCGGGGAA
rnacentral:tRNA from 1 species